AACUAAGCCUCGGUAGGUUGACACAGUCGACACAAAAAUGUUUGUGUUGAAUGAGCCUUAGAAGAGGUGGAUGUGGAAGCGGGUCAUCAAUCUGCACCGGCCUACCGCGUCUAUUAUCUUGAAGCCUUGAUAGAGAAUCAGUAACAGUCCAUGACGAGAAGCGUCUUUUGGUUUCUUCAGAACGCGCUAGGAUUUUCGGACUUGUUGCCUGAUGUGGAUAGCUAUUUCGACCAUUAGAGGUCUCAUCAGCACACCUACUGGCUUUACAAAUACUUGCAUUGACUUGCAAUGGUUUUGUAAUAUAUCGUUUUACAGCGAUAUUGUGAGGGUAUAGCGCAGUAAGUGUUUACUUAACUUUACUCAGCUUAUAUUCACCGUCUCGUACUACUAUUGUAUUUCAAUAGUGAUGGAAUUUUAUGUUUUCCUAAUCUUAAAGCUGCUUAAAGAUUUACCUUUUUACUGGGGAAUUCCAUGGAUUUGGACGCAGCAUCAACAUCUUAAAUUUUGACAUUCACAGAGCCCAGAAGACCGGGUGAAGAAGAAGAAUGAACACCGUCAAACGUCACCAUAAUUUUUUCUGCUUUUAAUAUAAUUGGACCAAAACACAGCGCAAAAUUGGUGUUUCAAAUUGAAUUUGCCUAAAAAAGACAGCGCAGAACUAUUGUUAUAUACUUAUUACGCUUGUUAAAGGCAACACAAGACUUGUUAUUGAUCUAAACAGUUAAACAGUAAAAAUAUGCUAAAUGGAGAGCGAAGGUGCGAGGCAAGCAUCUUAUCCUUAUUAAUUUAGUUACAAGUCACAUUGAAUUGCUGUUGCAGUAAGAGGCGCUAAGCAUGUUAAAUGUUAUUUGUCACAUAUGAAAUUACGUUCUUAAUACUAUAUGAAGAUAUGAUUACUUUGUUAAAUACUUGUUGAUUGUUUUCUUUAUUAAGUUCAAUGUUGGAAGGACUUAUUUUUGCUGACAUCCUAGAAGGACCAUUCUUGCAUCAUAUUGUAGGUGAUCUGCACCCGAGCCCGAUAUCGUAGGAGAACCAUUCUUGCAUCAGAUUGGUUUAGCACAUGAACGCGUCAUCCUCGUAAUAUCAGCGUGGGGACGGAUGUAAAAUUUAAUGGCAUGUAAUUAAACGAACUUUAUUUUUUCGAUUUUUAACUUGUCAAUUCAUUAAAUGCACUUAUAAUUAAUGCUUGCACUUAAAAAUACAGAACUGAACUUAAAAAUAAAUAUUUGCACUUUGAAAAAAUAA